AGCGGCGGACUCGCAAGAGCGUCGCGCGAUGGGAUGAGCCGAUGUCCGAUUAGCUAGUUGGCGGGGUAAAGGCCCACCAAGGGCGACGAUCGGUAGCUGGUCUGAGAGGAUGAUCAACCACACUGGAACUGAGACACGGUCCAGACUCCUACGGGAGGCAGCAGUGGGGAAUAUUGGACAAUGGGCGCAAGCCUGAUCCAGCCAUGCCGCGUGUGUGAAGAAGGCCUUCGGGUUGUAAAGCACUUUUGUUGGGGAAGAAAAGCACUCAAUUAAUACCUGGGUGUUCUGACGGUACCCAAAGAAUAAGCACCGGCUAACUUCGUGCCAGCAGCCGCGGUAAUACGAAGGGUGCAAGCGUUACUCGGAAUUACUGGGCGUAAAGCGUGCGUAGGUGGUGAGUUAAGUCUGUCGUGAAAGCCCCGGGCUCAACCUGGGAAUGGCGAUGGAAACUGGCUCGCUAGAGUGCGGUAGAGGAGAGUGGAAUUCCCGGUGUAGCAGUGAAAUGCGUAGAGAUCGGGAGGAACAUCAGUUGCGAAGGCGGCUCUCUGGACCAGCACUGACACUGAGGCACGAAAGCGUGGGGAGCAAACAAGAUUAGAUACCCUGGUAGUCCACGCCCUAAACGAUGCGAACUGGACGUUGGGAGCAAUCAGGCUCUCAGUGUCGAAGCUAACGCGUUAAGUUCGCCGCCUGGGGAGUACGGUCGCAAGACUAAAACUCAAAGGAAUUGACGGGGGCCCGCACAAGCGGUGGAUCAUGUGGUUUAAUUCGAAGCAACGCGAAGAACCUUACCUGGAUUUGACAUCCUUUGACAAUCCUAGAGAUAGGACUUCUGUAACAAUACAGCAAAGUGACAGGUGCUGCAUGGCUGUCGUCAGCUCGUGUGGUGACAUGUUGGGGUAAGUCCCGCAACGAG
rnacentral:rRNA from 1 species